rnacentral:lncRNA from 1 species
AGGAAGACAGGACGGACAGAACGGUCAGGACAGAUGGACAGAACGGACAGACAGAGUCAGACAGGAUGGACAAACAGGACGGACAGACAGAGUCAAGACAGGACGGACAGAAAGGACAGGACGGGCGGGAUGGGCACGACAGAUAGGCAGGACAGGCAGACAGGAUGGACAGAACGGUCAGGACAGACGGACAGGACAGGCAGACAGUCAGACAAGACAGACAGGACGGACAGGAUGGACAGAGUCAAGACAGGACGGACAGAAGGGACAGGACAGAUGGGAUGGACAGGUCAGCCAAACAGGACAGACGGACAAGACAGGACGGACAGGAUGGACAGGACAGACGGACAGAGUCAGGACAGACAGAGGGACAGACAGGACAGACAGAGAGACAAGACAGGACGGACAGAGAGACAAGACAGGACAGGACAGACAGAGACAAGACAGAUGGGAUGGACAGGACAGACGGACAGAGUCAGGACAGACAGAGGGACAGACAGGACAGGAUGGACAGACAGACAAGACAGGACGGACAGAGGAACGGACAGGACAGACAGACAAGAUGGACAGACAGAGAGGCAAGACAGGACGGACAGACAGGACAGGACAGACAGACAGGAUGGACAGAGAGACAAGACAGGACGGACAGAGGAACGGACAGGACAGACAGACAAGAUGGACAGACAGAGAGACAAGACAGGAUGGACAGAGGAACGGACAGCACAGACAGACAGGAUGGACAGACAGACGAGACAGGACGGACAGAGGAACGGACAGGUCAGGCAGACAGGAUGGACAGACAGAGAGACAAGACAGGACGGACAGGACAGACAGACAGGAUGGACAGAGGAACGGACAGGACAGACAGACAGGACCGCGGCCGGGGUCCUCCACGCCCCCCUCCCCCCCCCGAAGUUGCUUCCUUUAAUGGAUGGAGCGGGGAUCAAGGGGCUGCUGCCCAUUGGGCUCGUUAGGCGUAACGAGCUCGUUAGCAGCAGGAUGUGGGGCUCUGGGCUCUCCUCCAUCAUCAGCCAUGGGGUGCAGCCCCUUCCAAUGGAACCAGGCCCAGGGGGUGACCCCAGGUGGGCACACAGCUGGGAGGAACAGGGGGCUGGGACCCCCAGUGUAAAGUCGUUAAGUGUAACGAGCUCAUUAACAGCACCGUAUGGGGCUCUGAGCUUCCCUCCAUCAUCAGCCAUGGGGUCCAGCCCCUUCCAAUAG